UUAGAAAUUGCAAAAUCCAUAUAUAACCCCCAAGGUGACUGUAUUUGGGGAUAGGGUCACUAAGGUUAAAUAAAGUCACACGAGCCAAGUCCUAAUCCAACAUGGGUGGUGUUCUUAUCAGAAAAGGAAGAGACACCAGGAGUGCGUCACACAGACAAGAGGCCAUGAGAGGACACAGCCAGGAGCCACCGUCUGCGGGCCGAGAAGAAAGGUCUCAUCUGAAACCACCACCCCUACCCUUGCAAUUCCAGCUCCUAGAACAGUGAGAAAAUAAAUUUCUUCUGCCAAAGCCCCUCAAUCUGUGGCAGUGUAAGCCGACCAAUACAACAGGCAUAUGGGUGUUUAUCGUACUAUCCUUGCCACAUUUUGAGGUUUCCAAUUUUCCCAGCUGAGAAGUUGGGAACAUAAUGUACGCUGCCCCCAGGAAUAAAAACUUCUCCAAAAGGGAACCUGAA